GCAAGUCUGGUGCCAGCAGCCGCGGUAAUUCCAGCUCCAAUAGCGUAUAUUAAAGUUGUUGCAGUUAAAAAGCUCGUAGUUGAAUUUCGGGAUCAAUAUUUCGGUCAUGCCGUUGGUAUGCACUGUUAUCAUUGAUUUCUCACCUUCUAAAGAACCAUAAUGCCAUUAAUUUGGUGUUACGGGGAAUUAGGACUGUUACCUUGAAAAAAUUAGAGUGUUUAAAGCAGGCUCACGCUUGAAUACAUUAGCAUGGAAUAAUGAAAUAGGACAUCCGAUUCUAUUUUGUUGGUUUCUAGGAUCGAUGUAAUGAUUAAUAGGGAUAGUUGGGGGCAUUAGUAUUCAAUUGUCAGAGGUGAAAUUCUUGGAUUUAUUGAAGACUAACUACUGCGAAAGCAUUUGCCAAGGAUGUUUUCAUUAACCAAGAACGAAAGUUAGGGGAUCGAAGACGAUCAGAUACCGUCGUAGUCUUAACCAUAAACUAUGCCGACUAGGGAUCGGAUGAUGUUAAUUUUUUAAUGACUCAUUCGGCGCCUUACGGGAAAC
rnacentral:rRNA from 1 species